UACGUAGGGACCAAGCGUUGUUCGGAUUUACUGGGCGUAAAGGGCGCGUAGGCGGCGUGUUAAGUCAGCUGUGAAAUCUCCGAGCUUAACUCGGAACGGUCAGCUGAUACUGAUGUGCUAGAGUGCAGAAGGGGCAAUCGGAAUUCUUGGUGUAGCGGUGAAAUGCGUAGAUAUCAAGAGGGACACCUGAGGUGAAGACGGGUUGCUGGGCUGACACUGACGCUGAGGCGCGAAAGCCAGGGGAGCAAACGGG
rnacentral:rRNA from 1 species